rnacentral:lncRNA from 1 species
CCAACAAUAAUAUCCCUCGGAGAAAAAAAAAAUAGAAAUGGAUUCCAUUACAAAUUUACAUUUGUUCGAACUAAUUACAAGGUUAAAUAUUGUGUCUAAAAUAGAGGCCAGCUUCUUCGGACAAUCAUGCCAAUUUUUAGGUUUUUUGUUGUCAUUGUUUGAGCUAUGCUAAAUUUUACGAAGAUGUUGACAAACGAAAUGAGGUGACAACUAGGCUAUCAAUGAAAGAAUGAUGGGUGAUUUACCCCAACCAAUACACAUUAGUCACAUAAGCACAUAUUCAUGAACUAUCUUGACCCCACAAAUAAAUUGCUCAUUUUCAUUGGUUGAUGGGUAAAUUACCCACCAUUCUUCAAAGGUAAUUUAGAAAUAACCACGAAAUGAAAGAAUAUGUAUGUGUCAAUGCAUUAGAAA